GAUGAACGCUAGCGGCAGGCCUAAUACAUGCAAGUCGAACGGUGUCUUCGGACAUAGUGGCGCACGGGUGCGUAACACGUAUGCAACCUACCUUACAUUGGGGGAUAGCCUUUCGAAAGGGAGAUUAAUACCGCAUAAGACAGUAACUAGGCAUCUAGUAGCUGUUAAAGAUUUAUCGAUGUAAGCUGGGCAUGCGUCCAAUUAGCUAGUGGGUGAGGUAACGGAUCACCAAGGCAAUGAUUGGUAGGGGAACUGAGAGGUCAAUCCCCCACACUGGCACUGAGAUACGGGCCAGACUCCUACGGGAGGCAGCAGUAGGGAAUAUUGGGCAAUGGACGCAAGUCUGACCCAGCCAUGCCGCGUGCAGGAUGAAGGCGUUAUGCGUUGUAAACUGCUUUUAUACAGGAAGAAACGACUCUUGCGAGAGGCAUUGACGGUACUGUAUGAAUAAGCACCGGCUAACUCCGUGCCAGCCGCCGCAGUAAGAC
rnacentral:rRNA from 1 species